GACGAACGCUGGCGGCGUGCUUAACACAUGCAAGUCGAACGGAAAGGCCCUGCUUUUGUGGGGUGCUCGAGUGGCGAACGGGUGAGUAACACGUGAGUAACCUGCCCUUGACUUUGGGAUAACUUCAGGAAACUGGGGCUAAUACCGGAUAGGAGCUCCUGCUGCAUGGUGGGGGUUGGAAAGUUUCGGCGGUUGGGGAUGGACUCGCGGCUUAUCAGUUUGUUGGUGGGGUAGUGGCUUACCAAGGCUUUGACGGGUAGCCGGCCUGAGAGGGUGACCGGCCACAUUGGGACUGAGAUACGGCCCAGACUCCUACGGGAGGCAGCAGUGGGGAAUAUUGCACAAUGGGCGGAAGCCUGAUGCAGCAACGCCGCGUGCGGGAUGACGGCCUUCGGGUUGUAAACCGCUUACGCCUGUGACGAAGCGUGAGUGACGGUAAUGGGUAAAGAAGCACCGGCUAACUACGUG
rnacentral:rRNA from 1 species